rnacentral:rRNA from 1 species
GAAUAUUGGCCAAUGGGGGGAACCCUGAUCCAGCCAUGCCGCGUGUGUGAAGGAGCCCUUUUGGUUGUAAAGCACUUUAAGCGACGAGGAAGCUACCCUAGUCAAUACCUAUCGCUACUGGCAGUUGCUCGCUGGAUAAGGACCGGCUAGCGCUUUGCCCGCCUCCGCGGUAAUACAGAGGGUGCAAGCGUUAAUCGGAUUUACUGGGCGUAAAGCGCGCGUAGGUGGCCAAUUAAGUCAAAUGUGAAAUCCCCGAGCUUAACUUGGGAAUUGCAUUCGAUACUGGUUGGCUAGAGUAUGGGAGAGGAUGGUAGAAUUCCAGGUGUAGCGGUGAAAUGCGUAGAGAUCUGGAGGAAUACCGAUGGCGAAGGCAGCCAUCUGGCCUAAUACUGACACUGAGGUGCGAAAGCAUGGGGAGCAAAC